UACGGGGGGGGCAAGCGUUGUUCGGAAUUACUGGGCGUAAAGGGCUCGUAGGCGGCCAACUAAGUCGGAUGUGAAAUCCCCAGGCUCAACUUGGGAACUGCAUCCGAUACUGGAUGGCUUGAAUUCGGGAGAGGGAUGCAGAAUUCCAGGUGUAGCGGUGAAAUGCGUAGAUAUCUGGAGGAACACCCAUGGCGAAGGCAGCUAACUGGGCAUUAUCUGACGCUGAGGCGCGAAAGCGUGGGUAGCAAACAGG
rnacentral:rRNA from 1 species